CACUCCUGCGGGAGGCAGCAGUGGGGAAUUUUGGACAAUGGGCGAAAGCCUGAUCCAGCAAUGCCGCGUGAGUGAAGAAGGCCUUCGGGUUGUAAAGCUCUUUUGUCAGGGAAGAAACGGUGAGAGCUAAUAUCUCUUGCUAAUGUCGGUACCUGAAGAAUAAGCACCGGCUAACUACGUGCCAGCAGCCGCGGUAAUACGUAGGGUGCAAGCGUUAAUCGGAAUUACUGGGCGUAAAGCGUGCGCAGGCGGUUUUGUAAGUCUGAUGUGAAAUCCCCGGGCUCAACCUGGGAAUUGCAUUGGAGACUGCAAGGCUAGAAUCUGGCAGAGGGGGGUAGAAUUCCACGUGUAGCAGUGAAAUGCGUAGAUAUGUGGAGGAACACCGAUGGCGAAGGCAGCCCCCUGGGUCAAGAUUGACGCUCAUGCACGAAAGCGUGGGGAGCAAACAGGAUUAGAUACCCCAGUAGUCCCAUG
rnacentral:rRNA from 1 species